rnacentral:rRNA from 1 species
UACAGAGGGUGCGAGCGUUGUUCGGAAUUACUGGGCGUAAAGCGCACGUAGGCGGCUUUGUAAGUUAGAGGUGAAAGCCCGGAGCUCAACUCCGGAACUGCCUUUAAGACUGCAUCGCUUGAAUCCAGGAGAGGUGAGUGGAAUUCCGAGUGUAGAGGUGAAAUUCGUAGAUAUUUGGAAGAACACCAGUGGCGAAGGCGGCUCACUGGACUGGUAUUGACGCUGAGGUGCGAAAGCGUGGGGAGCAAACAGG